rnacentral:lncRNA from 12 species
CUUCCACUGGCUGGUCAUUGGCUGUGGCUCCUUGCCCAGGGAAGUGUAGCCCCCAGGCCCUGCCAACUCUCCUCCUUUGUGGGUGAUACUGCUCCAGGAGGCCAACCGCAGUCCUCUGAAGACAGCUCACAAGCGGAAGCCAUAAGAAAGCACACAAAAGCUGGAGAGAGAUAGCCAGAGUGGAAGUCCCCUUAUGGCAUAUGAAGUGACUGGGUAAGGAUAUAACCUCUAAAAGCCUCCAAGAAAUUCCUGAUUCUGUGAAAGUACAAGUAGGAUGAGAAGUUAUUGAGAGAGGAGCUGUGUUAUUCAAAGUGAAUGUUCACGGGUCAGUGUCAGCAAAUGAUAUCUGUAACAUGUUGCUAAUGCAGGUAAAAUUAGGUUGGAGCAAGAAGAUUGUGAAAUCUCAUGUUCCACAAUGGUCCGCUGAGCAAGUCAAAAUAGAGUUCGAUCUCCAUGAUUCAAAAUCUCCCAAUGGACAGGAAACAGAUGGUGUGAACCAGCAAGCAAAAAGAAAUGAGAGAACACGUCCUCAACAGCUUUCAUUCUCCUCUGUUUCUUGUUCUUUUGUCUGCUCUGCAUGUAACACCAGUCUUCAAGUCCUGACUGCUCCUCCACCAUGGGUGAUGAAAUUACUACAUUCUGCUUAUGUGAUUACCUCCACUUGGUUUCUGGGAGCUGCUGCCAAAAUCUAGACAUCUAAAGAGCAUGAUAUGAAUAGACUUUUCAGGAAAGCAAGAGUCAUAUUCUCAAGCAAUACAUCAAUGUUUAUUCUGUUUCUUGAACAGCUUCUUAAUUCUCAUUGGAGUUUAUUAGUCACCCUUGUUCUCAGUUGAUUAAAUUUGUUUGUAGUUGCCUCCAAGAUUAUAUUGACAGAUAUUCCUCCUUACAAUUUAAUAGCAACAUUUUUGCAGAGUAUGAGCUGACAUGAUAAGACAAAUGGAGAAAGUGAAUGCAUCACACUGUAUAGAUCUGAUUCAUUUUUCCUCCUAUCUCCUUAUUUAUUUCUGCCAUGAUUGGGAACCAAAUGAACAGGACGACAUUUGGGUUUUGUAAGAUAACUAUUAUUUUUGAUUUAUGGUUUCAUAUUUUUUAAAGUAAACACAAUAAAUAUAAAAAUAAAAGUUACUUGGUAUGAUUU